UGCGGUGCCGCGAGAGCCCCAGUGCGCAGGCCUAGGUCUUGGCGCGCCUCUAAGGAGUUUCCGUGGGAAGAUUUUCUGUUUUCCAGGUUUCCCAAGGGAGAGAAAGAGCGGGAGGAGGAAAAUCAAUGACUGAAUGGCCACUCACUGAAGGUCUCAUAGAUGUUGGACAACGUUAAAAAAAAAUCAGCCCUACCCACUAGAAUUUGACCAAUUAAGCUCACCAGAGUGAUGAGGUCCAGGAUGACUUUUGGGCAAAGAGAAGAGACUUGUGGGACUCCCAGCUGGGCAACAAUGUGGAAGACCAUCCAAUGUCUUUUAGAUAUUUGGUCAAUAUUUAUUUUAAGGGUAAUUAAAUGCUGUGUUAAGGAUGGUUGUGCUAUUAUUUUAUUUUUUUAUUUUUACUUUUUUUGUCUUUUUGCCUUUUCUAGGGCUACUUCCCGUGGCAUAUGGAGGUUCCCAGGCUAGGGGUCUAAUCAGAGCUGUAGCAGCUGGCCUACACCAGAGCCACAGCAAUGUGGGAUCCGAGCCGCGUCUGCUACCUACACCACAGCUCACAGCAACGCCAGAUCCUUAACCCACUGAGCAAGGCCAGGGAUCGAACCUGCAGUCUCGUGGUUCCUAGUCAGAUUCAUUAACCACUGAGCCACGACGGGAACUCCUGUGCUAUUAUUUUAAAUAAUAAUUGUUGCUUUUAUAUUCAUGCUUCAGCUUUUGGCAUUUUCACAUUAGCCCCAGACCAAUAAUAUUAGUUAGGUGCUAUAAACUCUUUGUAAUUUGUAGCUUGCUUUGUUUCGUAGCUCGCUCACUUCACUUCCUCUACUUCCCAUGGUAAUCUUGGCCAGUUAAUAGUGUUUUACUAUGGUACAUUUAGAAACCGCAUGUUGCUGUCUCUUCUUCCUCAUAUGCUUCUAGAGUCGGUUUGUCAUCAGCUAUAUUCCCUUUAACCUCAUCCUCUCCUAUGAAAACUCAACUUUCUUGCUGUAACUGUCACAUGACCGUUUCCCAAGGAAAUCGUCUAAAAUAAAUUAAUAUAGUAUAUUCA
rnacentral:lncRNA from 1 species